rnacentral:rRNA from 1 species
UACGUAGGCAGCAAGCGUUGUUCGGAGUUACUGGGCGUAAAGGGUGUGUAGGCGGUUCCUUAAGUUUGCUGUGAAAUCUCCCGGCUUAACCGGGAGGGUGCGGUGAAUACUGAGGGACUAGAGUACGGGAGAGGAAAGUGGAAUUCCCAGUGUAGAGGUGAAAUUCGUAGAUAUUGGGAAGAACACCGGUGGCGAAGGCGGCUCUCUGGACCGACACUGACGCUGAGGCGCGAAAGCGUGGGGAGCAAACAGG